rnacentral:misc_RNA from 1 species
GUUAUAAUUUGUGUUAUACAACAUACAUUACUAGGCGUUAAUAAAAGGGGGCCGGGUUCACAGGUAGUAAGAAGUGAGGGGCGGCAACUCUACGCGAGCACCUUAUCACUAAUGAUCCUUCCGCAGGUUCACCUACGGAAA